AAAAGAAGCUGUUGAGAAUUCAAGAUUAAAUUAAAUGAAAAGAGACUGAAAUGAAAAAAAGAGAAAGUGAAUUUCAUAUUUGCUUCCAUAUCUCCACUGAUUAUUAGAUGCAUUUAUUACUGCUGUACUGAUUUAGUGCUGUCAAAAUUUGAAGCAGUAGACCUGUUUUUGAUGAGCUGUACAGUUUGCCUUUCAGACAUAACUUUGUGUUAAGGUUAAUUUUUUAAAUGCAAAUUCUCUAGUUUUCUGAUGUUGGAUCAAUAUUUCCAGUUUUGCACGUACAGUAUAAGCCAUCCAAAGGCUUUUCUGCUUUUAUAUCAAUGUACUCUCGUCUCAUAAGUCAUAAGGUGACAUUUAGUGCAAUCCGGCCUGUGACCUAAAAAUGAGUUUCACACCCUGGAUUUAAAUAAUAAUAAUAAUAAUAAAGGAUUCUUCUAUGCACUAUUAAAGGUGUGCAGAAGGAAAACUUUGCUGAAGUAUCUGGGCUUAUCUCCCAACCGCAGACACUCGACUCAGCAUUCUGUCACCCUUGCUGAGAAACCAUUAUUAAAUGAACUACAGCAGAGUGCACAACAGAAUUAAAUGCAGGUCCUGGUCAGCAGUGUUGGGGAAACAUACAGAACGGGCAAGAGAUUUGCAUGCAUUUGAAGAGCUAUUUCAUGUUCAAAACACAUUUACACAUAGGUAUUUUACCUCGUUGUGAGAACACAGGAGAGCUUUUAUGACAAAAUCAUAAUGGACAGAUUGUGUUUACCUUUUUAUUGUAAGAGAACCAUACUCUACACAAUUGAUUGCUGUAGAAAUGAAAGGUUGUUAGAAAACCAGAAACCCACCGAAUAACCCAGCUAAACUCAAAUGUCGUAGCUUUUAAAUCACUCAAACGUGUAUUAUAUAGAGACAAGGAGAAGGACUGGUGACAACAAUUCAAUAAUUUGACAAUAAAAUAUAGUGUACCGGCAAGAUGCAAAAGAAGCCAUUCAGGUUAGUUAUAAUUUUGACCCCAGUAUCAAUUCACAAGCUUUUCACAAAUUUUAGUAGCUUUUACUAGGCAAUCGUGCUCACAUUGUGAACACCCAUCAUUACAGAGAUAAUACAAAUUUUGAUUUAGUUUCCUGAGAUGAGGGGUUU